GCCCCUGUCCCUAGGCCAGGCUGCACGGUUCAGUGUGCUGCUCCCUGUGGCCCUCUGGGAAGGAGCUCCGACACACUCCCUGGCUCUAGUUACUGACUGUCCUCAUCUCCUCCUCCAAAGGGGGUGAAGGUAGCUGACAGUCCUACAACACUGUACUUUCCCUCUGAGCCCAGUUGCUGUGUAUAACUGGUUAUGGGACAGGAAGACCUCAGGAAGACCGUCACCUCUCAGGUCUGGGCAAGAGAGCUAUAUUCCUUCAGCUAUGCAGCAGCUACCUUCAUCUUCCUCCUAUACCAGCUUCAAGGCAGAAAACUGUGGAGUCCUGGAGAACCACCUUUGAAGUCCUUCGGUCCCUUCUACCUAGAGUAAAGGUGAAAGACUAUGCAGACAGAUACAUCUCUGAUAGAAAGAGACAUGAUUUCAAAGGAGGCUGCUAAAUUAAACUAAGAAUGGAUUGCUUAUUGACAUCUUACAUGAUUAUCUCCUCACUUCAUUACAGACGUUGACCAAAUUUUGUGAGGUCCAAAGCUUAUGCAAUUUGGGGAACCCUCUUUUUUAGGAAAAGAACACAACAUUAUGAACAGGCAAUUAAGUGCAGUCUCUAGAAGGG
rnacentral:lncRNA from 1 species